rnacentral:rRNA from 1 species
AUACGUAGGUGACAAGCGUUAUCCGGAUUUACUGGGCGUAAAGGGCGUGUAGGCGGUCUUGCAAGUCAGAAGUGAAAUUCCUGAGCUCAACUCGGGCGCUGCUUCUGAAACUGCAGGACUUGAGUGCUGGAGGGGAUAGCGGAAUUCCUAGUGGAGCGGUAAAAUGCGCAGAUAUUAGGAAGAACACCGGUGGCGAAGGCGGCUAUCUGGACAGUAACUGACGCUGAGGCGCGAAAGCGUGGGGAGCAACCAGGAUUAGAUCCCCUGGUAGUCCACGCCGUAAACGAUGAAUACUAGGUGUAGGGGGUAUCGACUCCCUCUGUGCCGCAGUUAACACAAUAAGUAUUCCGCCUGGGGAGUACGGCCGCAAGGUUGAAACUCAAAUGAAUUGACGGGG